CAGUCGAGAAUUUUUCUCAAUGGGGGAAACCCUGAUGGAGCGACGCCGCGUGGAGGAUAAGGUCUUCGGAUUGUAAACUCCUGUCAUGUGUGAACAAGGCUGCCGUGUUAACAGCAUGGCAGAUUGAUGGUAACACAAGAGGAAGAGACGGCUAACUCUGUGCCAGCAGCCGCGGUAAUACAGAGGUCUCAAGCGUUGUUCGGAAUCACUGGGCGUAAAGGGUGCGUAGGUGGCGUGGAAAGUCAGAUGUGAAAGCCCGGGGCUCAACCUCGGAAUUGCAUCCGAUACUACCAUGCUAGAGUACUGAAGAGGUGACUAGAAUUCUCGGUGUAGCAGUGAAAUGCGUAGAUAUCGAGAGGAAUACCAACGGCGAAGGCAGGUCACUGGGCAGUUACUGACACUGAGGCACGAAGGCCAGGGGAGCAAACGGGAUUAGA
rnacentral:rRNA from 1 species